AAUCAAGGAUUUAAGUGCCGUGGCACGGGGUCGUGCCGGAAACUUGCCGGCACGGUACGGCACGGUGCGUGCCGAGUUGUGUUGAUGCAUGCCGGUCAAAAAAAUUCUUGUAUGCCGACACAUAAUAGCAUGAAAUAUUUAUUUUCUUUAGCAACAAAAUAUUCUAACUAUUCAUUAUGUCUUUUUAUCACAUGUUUUGAACUUUAUUGAAAAAAUUAUUUACUAAUUUAAAGAAUAGAGGGUUUUGAGCUGUGUCAUCGGCACGGGGUUUGUAUCGUGCCGGUAUUUUGUUGGCACGGUAUGACACGGUGGAUACGGCCCGUGUCGACGGGCACUUAAAACCUUGAUCCUAAUAGUCUUACAUGAGAUGAAAAAAUAAUUCUGAUUAGAAUAUAUGGGGCCUACACGUUAGUUAUAAUAACUGACUGAGGUUAAGCAUUUUGAGCAGAUGGUUUGGAUCCAAUGAGUUAUUAUUGCUAGCGGGUCGGAAUCGUUACAAUUGAUAUUAGAGCCGAAUAUCAGCUGGAAGUAUGCGAGCUAAGUGUAAAGUGCUACACCAAUAGUUUUGGUGGGAGCCACCUCUUGAAUCCGUGUAGGAGCCACUUCUAGGAUCGAUCUCAUAUUGCCCCAGUAGCCUAUGAGGCCUACACGCUAGUUUUAAUAACUGGAUUUAAGUAUUUUGGAUCGGUGGGUUGCUAGACUCACUACAACAGAAUUAGGUUAUAGGGACACAUGUUUGGGACACUUUUGAGUAAGUGUCCCAUUUAUGCUAAAACUUAAAAAAACAUCUACUAAUGCCUAAAUAUAAAGCCCAAUCCAACCAAAAAUAAAAGAUUACUCUACUCAACCCACCACAUCCAGUCCAUUUGGCCCGAUUACAAAAAGAAAAGAAAAAAAAAAGAAAAAUCAAUUACCAUAUUUUCUUCUCUCUUUACUCAAUCUACUGAAAUUCUAGACGAAGAGCCAUUCCUGUCGUCCUCCUCCGCCACCGUAGCCAACGAGAUAGAGUAUCGGCGGUUGCUAAAUGCUUAAAUAAGUUGUUGGUAAAUUAGCAGCACUCUUUUAGGUUAUAGCGACACUCUUUAACUGUCACUAUAUACCUAGCGACCCCACAUAUAGCAACACUUUUUAAAAGUGUCGGUAAUUUUAGCUAGCAGCACUUUUUUGACAUGUACCUAUAUUUAAAAGUGUCGCUAUAGACCGUUUUUGUUGUAGUGACUUGGUUUAAGUAUCUUGGGUCAGUGGUUUGGACCUAACGAUUUAUUGUUGUUAACGGUCGGAUCAUUACAAAUAAUUCUACGAUAAAGAAGUAUUCACAUAUUUCACGCAACUCCUU
rnacentral:lncRNA from 1 species